UUUUGAAGAUGUGCUGAUAUCAAUCCGCAACGUCUAUUGAUACACUAUGCUUGUGGACUGACACGAGAUGAUCCGCGGUUUCGAGAUUUCCUCGACGAUCGCUUUCUUAUAUACGAUGAUACCAGCCGCGUGACGGAGGCGAGGACAGAUGGCGAGGAUACGAAAGUAUAGGAAGAGCGGGGAAAGGAACAGUAUUUAAGAAACGGCGGCGAUUGAAGGACGAGAAUUUCGUCGUCAUUUAAUCGUUGAUCGCGACAAGGGAAAAAGAGAAAUACAAUUUCAAAAAUGAAAACUCAAUGCAGUCGGCUAGACGAUAUCCUGUCCUUCGGUAGCGAUCUAAGAUUAUCGCUAAUCAAUUCGUCGAAUAAGAUUUUUUAUAUUAAUAGAGUUCAGGGAUGUUAAAAAUGAGGAGAAACAGGUUUUGCAUCCUUUGAUGAUUCCCAACACGUCUUCCAGCGUCAAUAUUGGCGCCAGCGUAUCGAUGUAUAAAGCUUUCCUACAGAAACAAGGAGACAGAAAAAAAGAAAAUUACGGAGGCUUAAAAUGACACUUGUAUCGUUUUGCAUUGGAAAGGGACGCACCGUGGAACAUAAUCCUACCAUCCUUUCGCGAAUCCUAAUGUCCCUUCUAACAAAUAACGAGGCGUGGACAUGUUGUUAUUUUAAAACCCGCAGGAACGUGAGGACUGCAACAACCGGAUCUCAAGUUCAAUGUCAAUGCCCUAGGCGCGGCGUUGCUCGUCGAUGGAUUUACGAUUGUAACUUCCUUGGGAACGAGUUUAUAAAGACGGUAACAGCGCGUGAAGUAUACAAGAACGCAAGUGCUAUAGGAAUAUUUUAUAAUCAACCGAAAUUAUUCGUUGAAAUUUUCGCAGUUUUGUUACUGUUAUUUCUUCAUUUCGUAAUCAAGGAACGAGGAAAUUCCGUUUUUCCUAACACUUGUAUCAUAUUACACUUUGCGUGCAGCGACAAUUGAUCAAUGUAUCCGUAUCGCUCGCUAGAUAAAAUCUGUGAAAUUCCAGUUAAAUCAUCGUACAAGAUAUUUAAUGUUUGUAAAAUUCCAUGUUAUAUUUUUAAUUUAUUCUCUUGCUAUAACUACUUGUUUUUCUGGUAUGAAAAUGAUAACAAAUAUCGUAUUAAAAUAAUUUUAUAUUAGAACCAGUGGAUUUAGAGUAUUUAAUUAAAAAAAUCAUUAUAGAAGUAGCAAACGCAGCAGUGAAUCAUAAUAUAUGGAAAUACCGCUUUAUGAAAUAAAAGCUGAAUGCUAGAAAAUUUCUCACAUAAUAUAUAAUGAUUGCAGGAUAUUAUAUAAUAUAUGCGUGUAUAAAAAUUCUUAAUGCAUGCUGUUCGAUAUCGCCACAUAUAUAAACGUGUAUUUCAAUGAAACGAUUUGAUAUUUCGAAUGAAAAAAAAUAUGCAACGUAAUAUUGCUAUGUGAAUGGUUUUACCCGCGUGAUUGCACGCUAUCUACAAUUAUAUCCGAUACAUUAAGAAUAUAAAAAUAGAUUCGCCUAGCGAAUCUCUCAAUGGGCGUCGAUUCCGGCAAGCUUGGAAAAAUGAGAUACGGGGAGGCGAUUGUGAUAUAUCUAAGAAUCAGUAUGCUAAAAUCAAGAUUGGCAACCAUCGCAUUAUAAUUCUGAUUCUGUAUAUUUUCCAUCUUACAAAAAAUAUCUUUGCAUAUUUCGCUGUAUUUCGAUAAUUGCAAUUAAAGCUUUUACAUUAGUACCAAUAAUGUAAAUCUUCGAGUUAUAUAUUGCAUUCUGUUUAUUUUGGCACGAAUGACACAUUUUGGAUAUAAACGAGCGAGCCCAUAACGUCGGAGCUGAAUGAGCAUGAAGAUUAUAGCGAGGUAAACGAUUGUUUUCACGCGCUGCGUACGUGCGAUACAAUAUUAUGCCCGUUCUAAUAACAUAUGUAUAAGGUGAUAAAAUAAACACUCGCAAUGAAGCUUCAGCAGCAUUGUGUAUUACUCUCGAAGACUCUGCACUAGGAAUUCCUCGGGUGUGUUAAGAGAGUAACAAAUUAUAUAUAUACAAACAAUUAAUAUUUAUUAAUCCAAUAUUAAAAGUAAUGAGCUGUUUUUUGUUUUUUUAGAUCUUGUUGAACGAAGCAAUGUCUACCGAUUGAACUAGAUC